GUAGGGUGCGAGCGUUAAUCGGAAUUACUGGGCGUAAAGCGUGCGCAGGCGGUUUGUUAAGUCUGAUGUGAAAGCCCCGGGCUCAACCUGGGAAUGGCAUUGGAAACUGGCAAGCUUGAGUAUGGCAGAGGGGGGUGGAAUUCCGCGUGUAGCAGUGAAAUGCGUAGAGAUGCGGAGGAACACCGAUGGCGAAGGCAGCCCCCUGGGCCAAUACUGACGCUCAGGCACGAAAGCGUGGGGAGCAAACAGGAUUAGAUACCCUGGUAGUCCACGCCCUAAACGAUGCUCACUAGGUGUUGGGGAAGCGAUUCCUUGGUACCGUAGCUAACGCGUGAAGUGAGCCGCCUGGGGAGUACGGCCGCAAGGUU
rnacentral:rRNA from 1 species